AUACGGAGGGUGCAAGCGUUACUCGGAAUCACUGGGCGUAAAGCGCGCGCAGGCGGUCUUUUAAGUUGGAUGUGAAAGCCUACGGCUCAACCGUAGAACUGCAUCCAAAACUAUUAGACUAGAGUGUGGGAGAGGAAGAUGGAAUUAGUUGUGUAGGGGUAAAAUCCGUAGAGAUAACUAGGAAUACCAAAAGCGAAGGCAAUCUUCUGGAACACUACUGACGCUGAGGCGCGAAAGCGUGGGGAGCAAACAGGAUUAGAGACCCGUGUAGUCC
rnacentral:rRNA from 1 species